AACGAACGCUGGCGGCAGGCCUAACACAUGCAAGUCGAACGCUCGUAGCAAUACGAGAGUGGCAGACGGGUGAGUAACACGUGGGAACCUUCCCUAUGGUUCGGAAUAGCUCAGGGGAACUUGGGGUAAUACCGGAUAAGCCCUUCGGGGAAGGAUUUAUCGCCAUUGGAUGGGCCCGCGUCGGAUUAGCUAGUUGGUGAGGUAACGGCUCACCAAGGCAACGAUCCGUAGCUGGUCUGAGAGGAUGAUCAGCCACACUGGGACUGAGACACGGCCCACGACUCCUAUGGGAGGGCAGCAGUGGGGAAUAUUGGACAAUGGGCGCAAGCCUGAUCCAGCCAUGCCGCGUGAGUGACGAAGGUCUUCGGAUUGUAAAACUCUUUUGGCGGGGACGAUAAUGACGGUACCCGCAGAAUAA
rnacentral:rRNA from 1 species